rnacentral:rRNA from 1 species
AGUGAACGCUGGCGGUAGGCCUAACACAUGCAAGUCGAACGGCAGCACAGUAAGAGCUUGCUCUUACGGGUGGCGAGUGGCGGACGGGUGAGGAAUACAUCGGAAUCUACUUUUUCGUGGGGGAUAACGUAGGGAAACUUACGCUAAUACCGCAUACGACCUACGGGUGAAAGCAGGGGAUCUUCGGACCUUGCGCGAUUGAAUGAGCCGAUGUCGGAUUAGCUAGUUGGCUGGGUAAAGGCCCACCAAGGCGACGAUCCGUAGCUGGUCUGAGAGGAUGAUCAGCCACACUGGAACUGAGACACGGUCCAGACUCCUACGGGAGGCAGCAGUGGGGAAUAUUGGACAAUGGGCGCAAGCCUGAUCCAGCCAUACCGCGUGAGUGAAGAAGGCCUUCGGAUUGUAAAGCCCUUUUGUUGGGAAAGAAAAGCAGCAGGUUAAUACCCCGCUGUUCUGACGGUACCCAAAGAAUAAGCACCGGCUAACUUCGUG